UUAUCAGGCCUAUGUACAUCAGGCAUAAACAUUAAUGGUGGAAAAGUAGAGAAACCACCUCUGGACCCAGAGCAAUGGCCUAAUAAGGCGCCAAAGACUUUGGGGCCCAGGCUACGGACAUCCUCCCAUUAUUUACAUUAACUACAGGAGAUGAGCACAUACGUAAGGGAAUGUAAGGCUAACUUUCCAUACCAUGGAAGGCCAUUUUGAACAUAUACCAGGACGGUCGUAUAACAUGCAUGACAGCUCGGUUGGGGUGGAUAAGAGGGACGGGGAUCGGAGCCCCAGUCAGUGUGUCUUUUGCAAAACCACACGCUCGGCUCUGUUGUACCUAUUUUGUGGGUAACAAUAAAGUCUCUGUCAUUACUUUUUCCGGACUCCCCGAUUUCUAUUGCUCAUAGCUAGUUGAAGUAAAUUAGAUAAGUCGUUAACAAAAAUUGCAACUACAUAUUGGCGUCGCGACCAGGAGGAAAUAGGGACUCGCCAGCUGCCGGGCCAGAGGACGGGACGCGAACGGAUCAUACGACCAGAGCUCAAGGUUGCCCUGAUGUGUAUCCUUUACGCACACACAUGGCUGCAUAGGGCAGAUGCGGCUGAAGACUCUGUCUCCGUCCCUCCACUUUGCGAUCUAUACCACCACAUAGGUGGGGAUUGAUCGUAUCCCAG